rnacentral:rRNA from 1 species
CCUACGGGGGGCAGCAGUGAGGAAUAUUGGUCAAUGGCCGUAAGGCUGAACCAGCCAAGCCGCGUGAAGGAAGAAGGAACUAUGGUUUGUAAACUUCUUUUAUAGGGGAAUAAAGGUAUCCACGUGUGGAUAUUUGCAUGUACCCUAUGAAUAAGCAUCGGCUAACUCCGUGCCAGCAGCCGCGGUAAUACGGAGGAUGCGAGCGUUAUCCGGAUUUAUUGGGUUGAAAGGGUGCGGCGGUUGUUUUUUAAGUCAGCGGUGAAAGUUUGUGGCUCAACCAUAACAUUGCCGUUGAAACUGGAAGACUUGAGUUUGUUUGAGGUAUGCGGAAUGCGAGGUGUAGCGGUGAAAUGCAUAGAUAUCACGCAGAACUCCGAUUGCGAAGGCAGCUUACU